rnacentral:rRNA from 1 species
CCUACGGGGGGCUGCAGUGAGGAAUAUUGGUCAAUGGACGAGAGUCUGAACCAGCCAAGUAGCGUGAAGGACGACUGCCCUAUGGGUUGUAAACUUCUUUUAUAUGGGAAUAAAAUGUUCCACGUGUGGGAUUUUGUAUGUACCAUAUGAAUAAGGAUCGGCUAACUCCGUGCCAGCAGCCGCGGUAAUACGGAGGAUCCGAGUGUUAUCCGGAUUUAUUGGGUUUAAAGGGAGCGUAGGUGGAUUGUUAAGUCAGUUGUGAAAGUUUGCGGCUCAACCGUAAAAUUGCAGUUGAAACUGGCAGUCUUGAGUACAGUAGAGGUGGGCGGAAUUCGUGGUGUAGCGGUGAAAUGCUUAGAUAUCACGAAGAACUCCGAUUGCGAAGGCAGUUCACUGGACUGCAACUGACACUGAGGCUCGAAAGUGUGGGUAUCAAACAGGAUUAGAUACCCGAGUAGUC